UGCUGUGUCCAAGGGACCCUCAGCUCCCCCUCCCCUCCCCCAGUGAAACCAACCUCCAGGAGGCGGGGAGAGCAGCAGCAGAAGAACAAGGAAGACGCUGCAGACGAAGGACUGACCCCUCUCACUAGUACCAGCUCCGGAAGCCCAGCCCGUGCAGCUCUCUGCCUGGGCCGAGAACUGACCAGGUGCACCAUUUCCUGAAAGGACGCCGUGUGCCCUCUAAGGCGGACAUGCUGUCUGUGAGCGAGGCCUUCCUUCCAGUCGCAUUGAUGUGGUGACGAUGGGAAAGGCUGUGACUCCCACCACAGGAAAGGGAUCCCCUAAGUCUUCAAGUUUCCUAUGCACCUGGCUCUGGACCCCAUUCUGCACCUGAGAGGGAAGUCCAUCACCCCUCACACGGAAUCACACAGGGCUCCUGGGUCCCCUGAAGCUGUUGGGAACCACACACACACACACACACACACACACACACACACACACGCCGCGGGCUCUCAGAGAGCGGAUGAUCUGGUCUUCAGGAAAGAUGGGCUUUGUCCCAGCCGGGAGUUGCCUGCGCUGAAGAGCAGACCCGCACACUCCUGGCCGCCGCGCGGAGAGGGGCCUGCAGCUGGGGAGGGUCCUGCACUUGCCAGCCUGAACGAUGGGCAGAGAACAGGCCUAACACUGAGGACACUGCAGGUCAUGCUGUUUCUAAUUGUAACAAAGAGAGAUGCCUUGUUUGUAAGUCCCAGUGUCUUUCCUGCGUGAUUAAAAAUUCAUUGGCAAACAAUAAACUUCCCUCUAAAGUA